CCUACGGGAGGCUGCAGUAGGGAAUCUUCCACAAUGGGCGAAAGCCUUAUGGAGCAAUGCCGCGUGGGUGAAGAAGGUCUUCGGAUCGUAAAACCCUGUUGUCAGAGAAGAAAGUGCGUGAGAGUAACUGUUCACGUCUCGACGGUAUCUAACCAGAAAGCCACGGCUAACUACGGGCCAGCAGCCGCGGUAAUACGUAGGUGGCAAGCUUUAUCCGGAUUUAUUGGGCGUAAGGGGAACGCAGGAGGGCUAUUAAUUCAGAUGUGAAAGCCUUCGGCUUAACCGGAGUAGUGCAUUGGAAACUGGGAGGCUUGAGUGCAGAAGAGGAGAGUGGAACUCCAUGUGUAGCGGUGAAAUGCGUAGAUAUAUGGAAGAACACCAGUGGCGAAAGCGGCUCUCUGGUCUGUAACUGACGCUGAGGUUCGAAAGCGUGGGUAGCAAACAGGAUUAGAGACCCGAGUAGUC
rnacentral:rRNA from 1 species